UGCCAGCAGCCGCGGUAAUACGUGGGGAGCAAGCGUUGUUCGGAUUUACUGGGCGUAAAGAGCUCGUAGGUGGAUGUGUAAGUCGGAUGUGAAAUCCUCUGGCUCAACCAGAGAACUGCACCCGAAACUGCACAUCUUGAGUCCAGCAGAGGGAAUCGGAAUCAAGGGUGUAGCGGUGAAAUGCGUAGAGAUCCUUGAGAACACCAGUGGCGAAGGCGGAUUCCUGGGCUGGCACUGACACUGAGGAGCGAAAGCGUGGGUAGCGAACAGGAUUAGAUA
rnacentral:rRNA from 1 species